UCAUUUCUUUCAAACACAUAU
rnacentral:piRNA from 1 species